ACGUAGGGGACAAGCGUUGUCCGGAAUGACUGGGCGUAAAGGGCGCGUAGGCGGUCUAUUAAGUCUGAUGUGAAAGGUACCGGCUCAACCGGUGAAGUGCAUUGGAAACUGGUAGACUUGAGUAUUGGAGAGGCAAGUGGAAUUCCUAGUGUAGCGGUGAAAUGCGUAGAUAUUAGGAGGAACACCAGUGGCGAAGGCGGCUUGCUGGACAAAUACUGACGCUGAGGUGCGAAAGCGUGGGGAGCGAACAG
rnacentral:rRNA from 2 species